UGGGGAAUAUUGCACAAUGGGCGAAAGCCUGAUGCAGCAACGCCGCGUGCGGGAAGAAGGCCUUCGGGUUGUAAACCGCUUUUGUCAGGGAAGAAAUCUUCUGAGUUAAUACCUCGGGAGGAUGACGGUACCUGAAGAAUAAGCACCGGCUAACUACGUGCCAGCAGCCGCGGUAAUACGUAGGGUGCAAGCGUUAAUCGGAAUUACUGGGCGUAAAGCGUGCGCAGGCGGUUUUGUAAGACAGAGGUGAAAUCCCCGGGCUCAACCUGGGAACUGCCUUUAUGACUGCAAGGCUUGAGUGCGGCAGAGGGGGAUGGAAUUCCGCGUGUAGCAGUGAAAUGCGUAGAUAUGCGGAGGAACACCGAUGGCGAAGGCAAUCCCCUGGGCCUGCACUGACGCUCAUGCACGAAAGCGUGGGGAGCAAACAGGAUUAGAUACCCUGGUAGUCCACGCCCUAAACGAUGUCAACUGGUUGUUGGGAAGGUUCCUUCUCAGUAACGUAGCUAACGCGUGAAGUUGACCGCCUGGGGAGUACGGCCGCAAGGUUGAAACUCAAAUGAAUUGACGGGGUCAUAGCUGUUUCCUG
rnacentral:rRNA from 1 species